rnacentral:rRNA from 1 species
UUCCGGUUGAUCCCGCCGGAGGCCAUUGCUAUCGGAGUCCGAUUUAGCCAUGCUAGUCGAGCGAGGUUAGCCCUCGCGGCGAACAGCUCAGUAACACGUGGCCAAGCUACCCUGCAGAGGGGGACAGCGUCGGGAAACUGACGGGAAUCCCCCAUACCGGUCUCACGCUGGAAUGCCGAGACCGACAAACGCUCCGGCGCUGCAGGAUGCGGCUGCGGCCGAUUAGGUAGUCGGUGGGGUAACGGCCCACCGAGCCGAUAAUUGGUACGGGGUGUGAGAGCACGAGCCCGGAGACGGAAUCUGAGACAAGAUUCCGGGCCCUACGGGGCGCAGCAGGCGCGAAACCUUUACACUGCACGAACGUGCGAUAAGGGGACUCCGAGUGCGAGGGCAUACAGUCCUCGCUAUUGUGUACCGUAGGGUGGUACACGACCAAGAGCUGGGCAAGACCGGUGCCAGCCGCCGCGGUAAUACCGGCAGCUCGAGUGAUGGCCGAUUUUAUUGGGCCUAAAGCGUCCGUAGCUGGCCCUGCAAGUCCGUCGGGAAAUCCACUCGCCUAACGAGUGGGCGUCCGGCGGAAACUACAGGGCUUGGGACCGGAAGACUUGAGGGGUACGUCUGGGGUAGGAGUGAAAUCCUGUAAUCCUGGACGGACCGCCGAUGGCGAAAGCACCUCAAGACGACGGAUCCGACAGUGAGGGACGAAAGCUAGGGUCUCGAACCGGAUUAGAUACCCGGGUAGUCCUAGCUGUAAACGAUGUUCGCUAGAUGUG